rnacentral:rRNA from 1 species
GGUUAAGCGACUAAGCGUACACGGUGGAUGCCCUGGCAGUCAGAGGCGAUGAAGGACGUGCUAAUCUGCGAAAAGCGUCGGUAAGGUGAUAUGAACCGUUAUAGCCGGCGAUGUCCGAAUGGGGAAACCCAGUGUGAUUCGUCACACUAUCGUUAACUGAAUACAUAGGUUAACGAGGCGAACCGGGGGAACUGAAACAUCUAAGUACCCCGAGGAAAAGAAAUCAACCGAGAUUCCCCCAGUAGCGGCGAGCGAACGGGGAGCAGCCCAGAGUCUGAAUCAGCUUGUGUGUUAGUGGAACGGUCUGGAAAGUCCGACGGUACAGGGUGAUAGUCCCGUACACCAAAAUGCACAGGCUGUGAACUCGAAGAGUAGGGCGGGACACGUGGUAUCCUGUCUGAAUAUGGGGGGACCAUCCUCCAAGGCUAAAUACUCCUGACUGACCGAUAGUGAACCAGUACCGUGAGGGAAAGGCGAAAAGAACCCCGGCGAGGGGAGUGAAAAAGAACCUGAAACCGUGUACGUACAAGCAGUGGGAGCACCUUCGGGUGUGACUGCGUACCUUUUGUAUAAUGGGUCAGCGACUUAUAUUCUGUAGCAAGGUUAACCGUAUAGGGGAGCCGCAGGGAAACCGAGUCUUAACUGGGCGUUAAGUUGCAGGGUAUAGACCCGAAACCCGGUGAUCUAGCCAUGGGCAGGUUGAAGGUUGGGUAACACUAACUGGAGGACCGAACCGACUAAUGUUGAAAAAUUAGCGGAUGACUUGUGGCUGGGGGUGAAAGGCCAAUCAAACCGGGAGAUAGCUGGUUCUCCCCGAAAGCUAUUUAGGUAGCGCCUCGUGAACUCAUCUUCGGGGGUAGAGCACUGUUUCGGCUAGGGGGUCAUCCCGACUUACCAACCCGAUGCAAACUACGAAUACCGAAGAAUGUUAUCACGGGAGACACACGGCGGGUGCUAACGUCCGUCGUGAAGAGGGAAACAACCCAGACCGCCAGCUAAGGUCCCAAAGUCAUGGUUAAGUGGGAAACGAUGUGGGAAGGCACAGACAGCCAGGAUGUUGGCUUAGAAGCAGCCAUCAUUUAAAGAAAGCGUAAUAGCUCACUGGUCGAGUCGGCCUGCGCGGAAGAUGUAACGGGGCUAAACCAUGCACCGAAGCUGCGGCAGCGACACUAUGUGUUGUUGGGUAGGGGAGCGUUCUGUAAGCCUGCGAAGGUGACCUGUGAGGGUUGCUGGAGGUAUCAGAAGUGCGAAUGCUGACAUAAGUAACGAUAAAGCGGGUGAAAAGCCCGCUCGCCGGAAGACCAAGGGUUCCUGUCCAACGUUAAUCGGGGCAGGGUGAGUCGACCCCUAAGGCGAGGCCGAAAGGCGUAGUCGAUGGGAAACAGGUUAAUAUUCCUGUACUUGGUGUUACUGCGAAGGGGGGACGGAGAAGGCUAUGUUAGCCGGGCGACGGUUGUCCCGGUUUAAGCAUGUAGGCUGAUUGUCCAGGCAAAUCCGGAUAAUCAAGGCUGAGGUGUGAUGACGAGGCACUACGGUGCUGAAGUAACAAAUGCCCUGCUUCCAGGAAAAGCCUCUAAGCAUCAGGUAACAUUAAAUCGUACCCCAAACCGACACAGGUGGUCAGGUAGAGAAUACCAAGGCGCUUGAGAGAACUCGGGUGAAGGAACUAGGCAAAAUGGUGCCGUAACUUCGGGAGAAGGCACGCUGGUGUGUAGGUGAAGUCCCUGCGGAUGGAGCUGAGACCAGUCGAAGAUACCAGCUGGCUGCAACUGUUUAUUAAAAACACAGCACUGUGCAAACACGAAAGUGGACGUAUACGGUGUGACGCCUGCCCGGUGCCGGAAGGUUAAUUGAUGGGGUUAUCCGUAAGGAGAAGCUCUUGAUCGAAGCCCCGGUAAACGGCGGCCGUAACUAUAACGGUCCUAAGGUAGCGAAAUUCCUUGUCGGGUAAGUUCCGACCUGCACGAAUGGCGUAAUGAUGGCCAGGCUGUCUCCACCCGAGACUCAGUGAAAUUGAACUCGCUGUGAAGAUGCAGUGUACCCGCGGCAAGACGGAAAGACCCCGUGAACCUUUACUAUAGCUUGACACUGAACAUUGAGCCUUGAUGUGUAGGAUAGGUGGGAGGCUUUGAAGCGUGGACGCCAGUCUGCGUGGAGCCAACCUUGAAAUACCACCCUUUAAUGUUUGAUGUUCUAACGUUGGCCCCUGACCGGGGUUGCGGACAGUGUCUGGUGGGUAGUUUGACUGGGGCGGUCUCCUCCCAAAGCGUAACGGAGGAGCACGAAGGUUAGCUAAUCCUGGUCGGACAUCAGGAGGUUAGUGCAAUGGCAUAAGCUAGCUUGACUGCGAGCGUGACGGCGCGAGCAGGUGCGAAAGCAGGUCAUAGUGAUCCGGUGGUUCUGAAUGGAAGGGCCAUCGCUCAACGGAUAAAAGGUACUCCGGGGAUAACAGGCUGAUACCGCCCAAGAGUUCAUAUCGACGGCGGUGUUUGGCACCUCGAUGUCGGCUCAUCACAUCCUGGGGCUGAAGUAGGUCCCAAGGGUAUGGCUGUUCGCCAUUUAAAGUGGUACGCGAGCUGGGUUUAGAACGUCGUGAGACAGUUCGGUCCCUAUCUGCCGUGGGCGCUGGAGAAUUGAGGGGGGCUGCUCCUAGUACGAGAGGACCGGAGUGGACGCAUCACUGGUGUUCGGGUUGUCAUGCCAAUGGCACUGCCCGGUAGCUAAAUGCGGAAGAGAUAAGUGCUGAAAGCAUCUAAGCACGAAACUUGCCCCGAGAUGAGUUCUCCCUGAGACUUUAAGUCUCCUGAAGGAACGUUGAAGACGACGACGUUGAUAGGCCGGGUGUGUAAGCGCAGCGAUGCGUUGAGCUAACCGGUACUAAUGAACCGUGAGGCUUAACCUU